UACGAGGGGUCCAAGCGUUAAUCGGAAUUACUGGGCGUAAAGCGUACGCAGGCGGUUUGUUAAGCGAGAUGUGAAAGCCCCGGGCUCAACCUGGGAAUUGCAUUUCGAACUGGCAAACUAGAGUCUUGUAGAGGGGGGUAGAAUUUCAGGUGUAGCGGUGAAAUGCGUAGAGAUCUGAAGGAAUACCGGUGGCGAAGGCGGCCCCCUGGACAAAGACUGACGCUCAGGUACGAAAGCGUGGGGAGCAAACAGG
rnacentral:rRNA from 1 species